rnacentral:misc_RNA from 1 species
AGCAUUCUCUAUGACAGCUUUUCCUGCAUGCACAAGUAGACAAUAGAACAUACAUCACUAAUGCAAGUGGAGAGUCACAAUGACAUAAAGCAUAAUCUACGCAAAAUAAAGAAAUUUCAUUUUCCAUAACUUGGGAUAACAAGCUAAAUUUAUAUAGAUAUACCAUGGAAGAAAAAAAAAAAGAAUAAUCAGCAAUAACAGAAGAUACUGCAUAAAGCUUAGAAAAAAAGCUAGAGAAGAAUUAAGAAUGCUUA